ACCAGAAGAUCCAUGCUGUACUAGGACUGAGUGCUAUUGCAACACCAGCCUCUGCCCUGAGGUCACGCCCCAGUGCUUAGAGGGACAAGAAAUAAUCACAAUAAUGCAGCCUGGAAAAUGCUGUCCUACCUUUGAAUGCAGACAUGGCUGUGUAGUCAAUGAAACUUACUAUGCGCCUGGAACUGUCAUUCCAUCAGGCCCCUGCGAAGAAUGCAC